rnacentral:rRNA from 1 species
AUACGGAGGGUGCAAGCGUUAUCCGGAAUCAUUGGGUUUAAAGGGUCCGCAGGCGGAUUAAUAAGUCAGUGGUGAAAUCCUCUCGCUCAACGAGAGAACUGCCAUUGAAACUGUUAGUCUUGAAUUCGGUCGAAGUAGGCGGAAUGUGUCAUGUAGCGGUGAAAUGCAUAGAUAUGACACAGAACACCGAUAGCGAAGGCAGCUUACUAGACCUGGAUUGACGCUCAUGGACGAAAGCGUGGGGAGCGAACAGGAUUAGAAACCCGCGUAGUCC